UCUGCAAGGAGGAAUGUGCGAGCGGACACCGAGAAUAGCUAGUCUGCUUUUUGCCCUCUAACGGAGUAACACUGGCUUUACUCUUUCGCCACAGAGCCUACCCAGGGGAGAAAGAAAUAAAAUAAAACAAUCGGCGGGUCUCCGCCGGGCUGGUCCCUCCCGCUGCUCCCACCCGGCGGCGGCGCUGGGCAGGACCGGUCCUCCGUGGGGCAGCCGGAGGGGGGUUCCCGGCGCUGUCGCCCCCCGAGCAUCGCCCGAAGGUACCCCUUGCUCCGGAGCCCACCCCGGCACCCGCUGUCUCCCCUCUGCCUCCCUCCAGCGGGGAAAUCCCGGCUGGAUAGGGCGCAGCCUCCCCGCUCCGGAGUGCCGGGGCGCCGAACCGGAGGAUGCUGCGAGCUCCACCAGCGCCGGGGCCACCCCUGCUUCUAAAUAACAGAAAUAAUUUUUUAAAAACCCCAACAACUCAACAGCCGAACGAGGAGUCAGGAGGCUGGGAGGCUCCCACCGCGCCUUCUGCGGCGGCGGGGAGCGGAGGAUUCGCAGUCCUGUCUCUGCACCAUUUCUCUGGAGCACACAAGAGGAAAGACCUUUGAAACAGCUUGAGACACUCAUUCUUCUUCUUCACAAUACCCAUGGAUGAGCAUUUUGUCAGCCUCACAGGUCUCCUUGAAGAACUAUCUCUGCAGCUCACAGCCCCCUCCUCUCUCUGCAUCAGGUGUUGGAGACCACCUGAAGAGCUGCUGACUCAGUAGGAAUUCGAAGAACAUCCAAAGAUAUAACCCUCCAUAGAUGAAGAACAGAAAUACAUCCAUAAAUCUCAGUUGUGGUUUUUAAAGUUACUUAAGAAAGUGGGAGAUUUAAGAUCCAAAACUUCUUAGGCAAAUAAAUUCCCUUUAUCCUCAAGUCUUCCCUUUUUUGCCUUUUCUUUUUUCUUUUUUCUUAAUUUUGCCAAAAUUUCUGCAUCUACAGACACUUUUCAAAAUCUACCUAUAAAUAUGUUUCCAGCCUGGUAGCCCAUAUUGUUCUAACACUGAUUAGUGCUCCAAGCAGCAGGUAAGUCACCUGCCAGGAAGACUGUGCAAUCAGCCCCACUUCUCUUUCCCUGGGCACCACACAACUGCAGGCAGGGUUCUUGGGUAAUGACAGGGUGCUUCUGCAAACAACCAGCUGUGAAAUGACACAUUCCUGUCAGCAGAGAACUCUGCAGAUGUUCUUUAGUCUCUUAACAGAGCAAACAUUUCUGUGCCACCCUAGCAGGGAAACCAUCCUUGUUGUAGCACAUAUGAGCAACUUUGUUCUUUUCCAGAAUAUGCUACAGAACAACUUUGUGUGCCACGGGGAGCUGCACCAGGCAGACACACCUGCUGACUGAGACACCACUGGACACACAGAUUUGUUCCUGAAGAAAAGGUUGAACAAGAUAAAAUCAUCGUGGCAAUGUAGAGGUAAUCCGAGGCUUCAGGGAACACGAACAAGCUGCAGGGUAAAUCCACUCACCAUCAACAGCUGAGCGGGUAAUUCACAGCGAAACACAGCUUUGAUUAAGUGCACCCUUUUCCCAGCCACAGAGAAACUGUUAAAGCUCUUGGAAGUUCCCUAGUUGCUUCUAGUAAUUACAAAUUGGGCCCUUUAUGCAGAAGAUGGAUGAAAGAGCUGUGCAUCUGUGAAAUGCCCUGAAGCCCUGGAAACAGAGGAUGUCACAGCAUUCAAGGUAUUUCAGAGACUUUGAGGACCUUGUCACUGCAUGAAUUCCACCUACUUUUGAAGUCUUGCCUUUUGCAGUCAAGAGAAUAACACAGAACUAUCCUUAUUUCCUGUCUCUAAAUGCAUGAGCCCAGUAAAAGGAAAGCAGCAUGCCAAGUGCAUGAGCAACAACCCUCGGAGACAUGAAUUGUCUCACUGCUUUCUUCAUAAAGAUUAAAGGUCAUCUGUGCUUGUCCCCUCCACACAUAGAGCAUGUAGAGACACAGAGACACCCAAAACCAAGCUCCACAGCUACUGCAGAGCCAAUGUCUCUGUGUGAUAUCCACAUUCCCCAAUCAUCCAGCCAUUCCUACACAUUGGCUUCCAGUCUGGUUGCACUCCAGAGCCAGCAAACUGCACUGCAAGAAACAGCUCACACGUGGGUAUGGAUUUAGCCUAAGAUAGUCAGGGAGCCCACAUCACCAUAGUAACUGCAUGCUGUUGCAUUAAUUUCAGCAAAUAAAUGAAGCUUGUAAGUCAAGGGGUAUUUACACAGAGCAGUGCAAGAGUACACAAAGAAACUGCAACAGUCCUGAAUGAGGCAGCCAGUCUUUCCUGGCUUCUUUACCCUGCUUUUCAGGAUGACUGAUAGUCUGAUUGGAAGAUUCCAUUAAUAUGAUUAGCCUGCCUUCAGUGUUUGAUGUGAUGUUUUCAGACAUGGCUUAGGUGUACCUACACAGCAUAACACUGAGCCAUGUAGGACCAACCAGAAGUGUGAAAAAGCUUCUAGAGUAAUGUGCACAUUUUCAAAAACUGAGGUUGUUGUAGAAAAAUUUAGCAGGUUUGAGUAUUCCCCUUCUGACUGGUGAUGUUUGUUUAGGAGCUUUUACAUACUGAUAAUGAUGGGAUGAUUUGUUCUUUAUGAGGAAAACAAGAACUUACUUAAGGCAGGCUGGGAUCCUCAUUUUGUUGCCAAAAGCCCACCCACUAUUCUUUACAAAAUGAAAUAAAACAUACUCACCAGGGUCAAACACGGGUACAAAGUUCUGGUUCACCCAAGCUGGCUUAAAGGCAGCCUGGCUGGGAGGGGAGUGGUCAAGCAUUACAGCUUGCUGGCCACUCCGACUGCCUAAACUCGUCUGUGUCUGCAGGGUGUUGACUUCCCCUUUAGUCACAAGUUUGCAGAAGUGUUAUUAAAAAGGAGAAUCUGACUAAUCCAGGAACUCUGGAGUCAGAAGGAAGAAAAGCAUUUUUAUUGGGCCUGUCUGAGAUUGAGUUCGUUUUCCUCUGGCAGCCCUCACAGUGCUCUGCUGGGCAUUGGCAGCUGGAAAGGUGUUGGUAACACAGCAGUGUUUGACUCCUGCUGAGCAGGGCUGGCACAGCACCAGCACUGUCUCCCCAACAUCCCUCCAUCAAGGGGCUGGGAGCGGGCAAGAUCCCGGGAAGGGACACAACCAGGCCAGCUGACCGAAAUUAACCAAAGGGAUAUUCCACACCA